rnacentral:lncRNA from 1 species
AAAAAUGACUGUUCUUUCAUGAAAUGUUGACAUCUGCAGACAAAUAGUGUCCUGCAGCAUGUGCCAAAUUCCCUCUCUUCAUAUGUAAACCUUGCUACAAACACCUCCUACCCUGAUAUUUUUAGUGACAAGUGGAAAAUUGCUCUAUUAGCAGAACAAGGAGAAGUUAAUUCCUUCCAGCACCAGUUGCUGGUUUUUUAAGGCCAUGGAAACUUGGAAUUGAAUAUGCAAUAACAGGUAGAAAAAGACUGAGUACAAUCAUGUAAAAGCUGAAUUACUCCAAAUUGAUUUUUGCCUUCCCUCUUGCACUAAUUUUGUACCUAUUUGAUGUUGCAGAACUGUGCUGACUUUGAACGGGAAUUAAUGUCAAAGAUGCCCCUGAAGUCCAAAGCUGGAAUUCAGAUGAAAGACUUCUACAGUACGUUUUGAGAAGCUGCUCUGUACCAAAGUAUUUCACGUGAGAGGCUGUUGCCUAAGCUACUUCGUGUACAAACCUCUUUGCU